ACCUAGGAUCGAAAUGCAAACAAAGACUCUCUUCUCGGAACCCACCAUGCCUCAUGAAGACUCAUCUAGUAAUCUGCCCUACGCGGAGGAAAUGAAUCAACAACGAAGUUCGGGCGAGGUCGCAGUGGCUUCUAAUGUUCAGCCAUCUUCUUAUUGCAAUUCCCCUAACAAAGCAGCCCCUUCUGGUAUCGGUGGUCCAUUGAUGGACAACACUCCGACUUCAG